rnacentral:rRNA from 1 species
CGUGUAGGCGGUGCGAUAAGUCGGGCGUGAAAUCCCCGGGCUUAACCCGGGGCGGUCGCUCGAAACUGUCGUGCUAGAGUGCAGGAGAGGGAAGUGGAAUUCCCGGUGUAGCGGUGAAAUGCGUAGAUAUCGGGAGGAACAUCUGUGGCGAAGGCGGCUUCCUGGACUGCAACUGACGCUGAGGCGCGAAAGCUAGGGGAGCAAACAGGAUUAGAUACCCUGGUAGUCCUAGCCCUAAACGUUGAGCACUGGAUGUAGCCCUUCACCGGGCUGUGUCGAAGCUAACGCAUUAAGUGCUCCGCCUGGGGAGUACGGUCGCAAGGCUGAA